rnacentral:tRNA from 1 species
GCUUCCGUAGCUCAGUUGGUAGAGCACCGCACUCGUAAUGUGGAGGUCCUGGGUUCGAACCCCAGCGGAAGCU